AUCAUGGAUCUUGUCCAAAAGAUGUUUGGUAUUUUUUUUUUCCUCACCUCACCUAGCUCAACCAAGAAUCUGCAUCUUCCUUCCUCCAGUCCAGCAGCUGCCUCUCCCUGAGACCUGGCCUCCACCCUUCUCCUCACCACAAGCAAAGGAGUCAACAGGAAAAUGAAGUACAAAGAGAGGGUGCUGUCCACUUCAGUAAAGCUGGCCUUUGUGUGGCAGUUGAACCACUGAAGUCCAAAAGCAAGACAAAAAUCAGGAUGACUGGUGAUGGCCCAGAAUGAAGUGGAUGACCUUGUCAUCUUUGAUGUCUGAGCAAGCUCUAAAUUCUCUACAGUGGCUGCUUCAUCCACCAUCAUGGCUGUUGGAAGAAAUUGUUUUCACCCUCCCAUUCUUCUGGAGAAGUCUUCACAUGCUUGGGGUAGUCAUCCUUCCCCCACCAUCCUCACAUCAAUGAGGGAUUUUGCCAACCUUCUGAGACAGGUUUACUGUGAUGUGGCCAUAAACAUACUACUGCUUCUUAGAGCCACAGAUGAGAACUGGGUAGCAAGUGCAUGCACAAGUAGCAAAGGUGGAUGAGCAGCCCUGAAAAGGGCUUGGUAUGUCCUCCCACCAGAGGUCCUAGUCCUCCCUGAAUACCUCAUACCCCCAACAUUGGCGAGGUACCAACAUUAGGGAGCACAUAGAUUCAUCUAAGUAUGGAAGACUCGUAUUGAAGACAAAUAGAACUGAGACUUGGAGCUCAGAGUUUAUUAUAUGGUGAUUACAGCCUUUUCUUUCCAUUUUUGGCAGAGCUACAAAUGAAACUGUUGUUUCAUAAGGAUAGCGCAUUUGUGAU